rnacentral:rRNA from 1 species
GAUCCUGGCUCAGGAUGAACGCUAGCUACAGGCUAACACAUGCAAGUCGAGGGGCAGCAUUGGAGUAGCAAUACUCAGAUGGCGACCGGCGCACGGGUGAGUAACACGUAUCCAACCUGCCGCUUACUCGGGGAUAGCCUUUCGAAAGAAAGAUUAAUACCCGAUGGUAUAAAGAGUUCGCAUGUUCUCUUUAUUAAAGAAUUUCGGUAAGCGAGUGGGGAUGCGUUCCAUUAGAUAGUUGGCGGGGUAACGGCCCACCAAGUCUACGAUGGAUAGGGGUUCUGAGAGGAAGGUCCCCCCACAUUGGAACUGAGACACGGUCCAAACUCCUACGGGAGGCAGCAGUGAGGAAUAUUGGUCAAUGGACGAGAGUCUGAACCAGCCAAGUAGCGUGAAGGAUGACUGCCCUAUGGGUUGUAAACUUCUUUUAUAAGGGAAUAAAGUGAGGGACGUGUCCCUUUUUGUAUGUACCUUAUGAAUAAGGAUCGGCUAACUCCGUGCCAGCCGCUGC